GCAGCACGUUGGGGAUGCCUUUGCUGAAAUAGCUUGGGAAGGCGCGCUGCUCAAAGGGCGACAAGCUGUAGGAGAUCACGUGCCGUAUCCGCGCCAGGUUCCCAAACUCGCGGCCCAUGGUGACGGCGGCCCUGGGACAGAAGAUAGACGCGUGGCUCAGUCUCGCGAAAAACCUCCCACGGCCUAACACCGACCCCCAGGAUCGGUCACCUCUACCUCCAGAGCUCUGAGCCGGCUUUCGCCCGUCACUUCCGGGAGGAGCGGAAGCCGAGCCUAGAGAACGUGAAGUCAUUUCCGGGAACUACCAUUUUCUUUCGAUCUCAAGGGGGAGACUCAAAAAAAAAAUUGUCAGUUGACCUGAGUGGGCGUGGCCUGACCUUCGUGUAGCCGGAAAGGACCAGUACCAAGAGGGCUGGGCGGAGCUUAGAGGCGCUUCUAGCGACACGUGGGUGGGGCUUAUAGAGGUGCUUGUGGGCUUACGGUAAGUAGUGAACGCACGGGAGAGGUUGAUGUUGCCAAGGGGCGGGGCUUGAAGAGGAAUGGUGGCUUGGUGGGAGGGGUGCCAAGCAAGUGGGCGGGGCUUAUUAGCCACCCUGGGGAUCUUAGGUGGAUACGUCCGUAAGGUCCCCCGUCGAGAGGUGCACGGGGCGGGGCCUAUAGGUGCAUGGGGCGCGGAUUAGGGUGAUGGGCGUGGCUUAGGAGCACCUGGGUGUUCCAAGAGGCGGUCCUUUCCGCUCAGUACCAGGCCUUUGCAUAACAGCCGGCAGCUGCUCAAAAAUUAAAAAG
rnacentral:lncRNA from 1 species